rnacentral:rRNA from 1 species
GAUGAACGCCGGCGGUGUGCCUAAUACAUGCAAGUCGAGCGCACUGGCCCAACUGAUAUGACGUGCUUGCACUGAAUUGACGUUGGAUUACCAGUGAGCGGCGGACGGGUGAGUAACACGUGGGCAACCUGCCCUGAAGUGGGGGAUAACAUCUGGAAACAGGUGCUAAUACCGCAUAACAACGAAAACCACAUGGUUUUCGUUUCAAAGAUGGUUUCGGCUAUCACUUCAGGAUGGGCCCGCGGUGCAUUAGCUAGUUGGUAAGGUAACGGCUUACCAAGGCAAUGAUGCAUAGCCGAGUUGAGAGACUGAUCGGCCACAAUGGAACUGAGACACGGUCCAUACUCCUACGGGAGGCAGCAGUAGGGAAUCUUCCACAAUGGGCGCAAGCCUGAUGGAGCAACACCGCGUGAGUGAAGAAGGGUUUCGGCUCGUAAAGCUCUGUUGUUGGAGAAGAACGUGCGUGAGAGUAACUGUUCACGCAGUGACGGUAUCCAACCAGAAAGUCACGGCUAACUACGUGCCAGCAGCCGCGGUAAUACGUAGGUGGCAAGCGUUAUCCGGAUUUAUUGGGCGUAAAGCGAGCGCAGGCGGUUGCUUAGGUCUGAUGUGAAAGCCUUCGGCUUAACCGAAGAAGGGCAUCGGAAACCGGGCGACUUGAGUGCAGAAGAGGACAGUGGAACUCCAUGUGUAGCGGUGGAAUGCGUAGAUAUAUGGAAGAACACCAGUGGCGAAGGCGGCUGUCUGGUCUGCAACUGACGCUGAGGCUCGAAAGCAUGGGUAGCGAACAGG